AGCAUGAAACCAUCUGUGUUGAAGAUUCAAAAGUAGGGUUCCUACAGACCCUGAGCAAAACAGAGUGGACUCCAGCCUGCGUGAAUGAGCUUGAAACAGGAAUGCUUUGGGGUUCAGGCAUCUUACACUGAAUUUCUCUACUAUCACCCUUUCUACUCAAGCAAAAUCGUCAAGGAAAGGUCUGCUGGGAAGGAGGCAACUGCCUGUGGCUUUGCACUGUGAUGAAGGCAAAUGGUACAGUUUUCCAAAGAAAUUAGACCAAAACUUUCUUCUUGAGAAGAAACCAACCUGCUGUUGGCAGAGG